rnacentral:rRNA from 1 species
GACAGAGGUGCCAAGCGUUAGGCGGAAUCACUGGGCUUAAAGCGUGUGUAGGUGGAUGUCUAAGUACCUUGUGAAAUCCCAUGGCUCAACCAUGGAACUGCUCGGUAUACUGGAUAUCUUGAGCCACUUAGGGGCUACCGGAACAAAUGGUGGAGCGGUGAAAUGCGUAGAUAUCAUUUGGAACGCCAAUGGUGAAAACAGGUAGCUGGGAGUGUGCUGACACUGAGACACGAAAGCCAGGGGAGCGAACGGG